UACGUAGGGUGCGAGCGUUGUCCGGAAUUACUGGGCGUAAAGAGCUCGUAGGUGGUUUGUCGCGUUGUUCGUGAAAACUCACAGCUCAACUGUGGGCGUGCGGGCGAUACGGGCAGACUGGAGUACUGCAGGGGAGACUGGAAUUCCUGGUGUAGCGGUGGAAUGCGCAGAUAUCAGGAGGAACACCGGUGGCGAAGGCGGGUCUCUGGGCAGUAACUGACGCUGAGGAGCGAAACGCGUGGGGAGCGAACAGG
rnacentral:rRNA from 1 species